CGGGGCGUAGCCUAGUGGCUAAGGCACUUGCUUUGGGAGCAAGGAAUCGCGCGUUCGAGUCGCGCCGCCCCGA
rnacentral:tRNA from 1 species